UACGUAGGGGGCUAGCGUUGUCCGGAAUUAUUGGGCGUAAAGAGCUCGUAGGUGGUUUGUUACGUCUGCUGUGAAAACCUAGGGCUUAACCCUGGGCUUGCAGUGGAUACGGGCAGACUAGAGGUAGGUAGGGGAGAAUGGAAUUCCUGGUGUAGCGGUGAAAUGCGCAGAUAUCAGGAGGAACACCGGUGGCGAAGGCGGUUCUCUGGGCCUUACCUGACACUGAGGAGCGAAAGCGUGGGGAGCGAACAGG
rnacentral:rRNA from 1 species